ensembl:lncRNA
AUGUGGCUGUUCCUACUCAGAUCUUUUUCCUAUGCCAGGUUGUUCCUCCAGCACCUGAAGACUUACCAGUGUUCCGGUGUAUUACACAUAGCUUUUAAUCAUUACUCUGCACAAUCUAGUGUUUUUCAGUAUUACUAAAUUUUAGGUAAAUGUUUUCAUGGGUGUUUUCUCCUUCGAGAUGUUACUGCUUACAUAUGCCAUGCAUACAUUUUUGUUUAAAAUAUGAUUUAUAAUAUCCUUAUCAAAAAUUGUAUACAAUAAUUUAUGGUAAUAAAAUAAUCACCAAGUAUGAAUAGUAUGUUUUAACGCAAAUUAUUUUUGGUCCACAUAAAGGAAAUGAGCACUUAUGGUAUAGUAUUGUAAUUAUGUCAGAUGAAGGCAACCUAUAAUAUUUAAGGAUAGGUUAUGUCAGUAAUUCCUAAACUUCUUAUGAAGUUCUGCUCCCCUGAAUAUUUUGGGCUUUACUGGAAUAUAAAAAAAGACUUCAAGGAAACUCAUAGAUUAAAAUGCUUCUGCAAUGGACUGUUCUUUUAAACCUUGCACAAUCAGUGUUAUAGUUUAGUGGUGGUAGUAUUCAUUCCAUUUUAAUAGUAUUUUAAGAAUAUUUAUGAAAAAAAUUUUAAACAACCCAUGUUCUAUUUUGUGCUUUGAUAAGAAAAGUUAUUGCCUGAACUUAUGUCUCUAUCAAAUAUACCAUGUUAAGCCUUUGGUAUUACAUUAUAACUAUUAAACACUCACCUUGAAUUCUGCAGUUGGCAUUAUUUGAAGAAAAAGUUCAUUCUCAGUAACAAUUGUUUACAUUAAUUUUACACUUAUUCUUAAUCAUAACAACUUGAUAGUAACAUAGCAAAUGCGCAUUACACCUGAGUCUGAACAUUUGAGAAAGACUAACACUGUCUUUCGUCUGAAAAGUGCAUAAUAUAUUCAGUUUCAAAUAUUUGAUCUCAAAGAACCAAGAAAAAAAUCCAGAUAAUCAUAUUCCUGAUGCCUGCUUUCAUUUAGUCAAUUGGUUUCCUUCAGCAUGAGUGACUUCAACUUGCCCCCCUGUUAUCAAGCCUAUCAGACACUGACCAGGGAUGUUAUUAGCUACUCACCAGACUAAGGAAUAUUGCUCUAAGUUUUUUCCCAAUGUCUCCAGAGGACCAUGCUUCCAGUUCCACUAAUACAACUGAAACUAUCAAAACCCCACAGCACACCCUCAGUGACUAUGUACUUUGACCCCAGCAGUACCAUUGGCCUCUGCUCUUAAGCCAACCUCCAAUGAGGGAGAAGAAGAAGAUCCCUUGCCUUCAAGAUUAAACACCCUUCCUAACCCCAGCUUCCCACUCUAUCCCUCCCUCAACCCUCGCCCACCCCCUUGGGAAUGACAAGUCUAUUCUCUUAUGUCCAUGAGGAGGGUUAGCAGAUGUAAACUAUUAUAUAUGGAAUGGAUAAACAAGGUCCUACUGUAUAGCACAGAGAACUAUCAGUUCAGUUCAGUCACUCAGUCGUGUCCGACUUUGUGAUCCCAUGAAUUGCAGCACGCCAGGCCUCCUUGUCCAUCUCCAACUCACAGAGUUCACUCAAACUCAUGUCCAUUGA